CACGUAGGGUGCGAGCGUUGUCCGGAAUUAUUGGGCGUAAAGAGCUCGUAGGCGGUGUGUCGCGUCGGCCGUGAAAACCUGCAGCUUAACUGUGGGCGUGCGGUCGAUACGGGCAUCACUGGAGUUCGGCAGGGGAGACUGGAAUUCCUGGUGUAGCGGUGAAAUGCGCAGAUAUCAGGAGGAACACCGGUGGCGAAGGCGGGGUCUCUGGGGCCGAUACUGACGCUGAGGGAGCGAAAGCGUGGGGGAGCGAACAGG
rnacentral:rRNA from 1 species